GAUGAACGCUGGACAGAAUGCUUAACACAUGCAAGUCAAACUGAAUUUGGGGUUUUUUAUUUUAGAUUUUGGGUGGCGGGACGGGUGAGUAACGCGUAAAGAACUUGCCCUCACAGCUAGGGACAACAUUUAGAAAUGAAUGCUAAUACCUGAUAUUAUGAUUUUAAGGCAUCUUAGAAUUAUGAAAGCUAUAAGCACUGUGAGAGAGCUUUGCGUCCCAUUAGCUAGUUGGAGAGGUAACAGCUCACCAAGGCGAUGAUGGGUAGCCGGCCUGAGAGGGUAAACGGCCACAAGGGGACUGAGACACGGCCCUUACUCCUACGGGAGGCAGCAGUGGGGAAUAUUGGACAAUGGACCGAGAGUCUGAUCCAGCAAUUCUGUGUGCACGAUGAAGUUUUUCGGAAUGUAAAGUGCUUUCAAUUGGGAAGAAAAAAAUGACGGUACCAACAGAAGAAGUGACGGCUAAAUACGUGCCAGCAGCCGCGGUAAUACGUAUGUCACGAGCGUUAUCCGGAUUUAUUGGGCGUAAAGCGCGUCUAGGUGGUUAUGUAAGUCUGAUGUGAAAAUGCAGGGCUCAACUCUGUAUUGCGUUGGAAACUGUAUAACUAGAGUACUGGAGAGGUAAGCGGAACUACAAGUGUAGAGGUGAAAUUCGUAGAUAUUUGUAGGAAUGCCGAUGGGGAAGCCAGCUUACUGGACAGAUACUGACGCUAAAGCGCGAAAGCGUGGGUAGCAAACAGG
rnacentral:rRNA from 1 species